rnacentral:misc_RNA from 1 species
GAUGAAGAACGCAGCGAAAUGCGAUAAGUAAUGUGAGUUGCAGAAUUCAGUGAAUCAUCGAAUCUUUGAACGCACCUUGCACCCUUUGGUAUUCCGAAGGGUAUGCUCGUUUGAGUGUCAUUGUACUCUCACACUUCUAAUUCCUUUCGGGAUUGGGAGCGGUGGACUUGGGUGUUGCUGCUUUAGUUGUGGCUCACCUCAAAUAAGUUAGUGCAACUCUUGGUUGGACAUAGUACGGCGUGAUAAGUGUCUUCGCCGGCGCCUCUGUAAGGAGGGUGGCCGAUCGGGAGCUCUGUGCUUCAAACCGUCUUCGGACAAUCUUUGACAACUUGACCUCAAAUCGAGUAGGACUACCCGCUGAACUUAAGCAUAUCAAUAAGCGGAGGA